rnacentral:rRNA from 1 species
ACUCAAUAGAUACCCGGGUAGUCCACGCCGUAAACGAUGAGUGCUAAGUGUUAGAGGGUUUCCGCCCUUUAGUGCUGCAGCUAAACGCAUUAAGCACUCCGCCUGGGGAGUACGGCCGCAAGGCUGAAACUCAAAGGAAUUGACGGGGGCCCGCACAAGCGGUGGAGCAUGUGGUUUAAUUCGAAGCAACGCGAAGAACCUUACCAGGUCUUGACAUCCUCUGACACUCCUAGAGAUAGGACUUUCCCCUUCGGGGGACAGAGUGACAGGUGGUGCAUGGUUGUCGUCAGCUCGUGUCGUGAGAUGUUGGGUUAAGUCCCGCAACGAGCGCAACCCUUGAUCUUAGUUGCCAGCAUUCAGUUGGGCACUCUAAGGUGACUGCCGGUGACAAACCGGAGGAAGGUGGGGAUGACGUCAAAUCAUCAUGCCCCUUAUGACCUGGGCUACACACGUGCUACAAUGGAUGGUACAAAGGGCAGCGAAGCCGCGAGGUGGAGCCAAUCCCAUAAAACCAUUCUCAGUUCGGAUUGC